GAUCCUGGCUCAGGACGAACGCUGGCGGCGUGCUUAACACAUGCAAGUCGAACGAGGAUACCGGAGAGCUUGCUCGAAGGUAACCGAGUGGCGGACGGGUGAGUAACGCGUGAAUAAUCUGUCUCACACAGGGGGAUAACGCAUCGAAAGAUGUGCUAAUACCGCGUAGGACCACAGCUCCGCAUGGAGCAGAGGUGAAAGGAGCAAUCCGGUGUGAGGUGAGUUCGCGUCUGAUUAGAUAGUUGGUGAGGUAACGGCCCACCAAGUCAACGAUCAGUAGCCGACCUGAGAGGGUGAUCGGCCACAUUGGGACUGAGACACGGCCCAGACUCCUACGGGAGGCAGCAGUGGGGAAUAUUGGGCAAUGGGCGAAAGCCUGACCCAGCAACGCCGCGUGAAGGAAGAAGGUUUUCGGAUCGUAAACUUCUGUCCUUGGUGAAGAGAGAAAGACGGUAGCCAAGGAGGAAGCCCCGGCUAACUACGUGCC
rnacentral:rRNA from 1 species